rnacentral:rRNA from 1 species
UACGUAGGUGGCAAGCGUUGUCCGGAUUUACUGGGCGUAAAGAGCGCGCAGGCGGUCGUUCAAGUCGCGUGUGAAAGCCCACGGCUCAACCGUGGAGGGUCAUUGGAAACUGGGGGACUUGAGUACAGAAGAGGAAAGCGGAAUUCCACGUGUAGCGGUGAAAUGCGUAGAGAUGUGGAGGAACACCAGUGGCGAAGGCGGCUUUCUGGUCUGUAACUGACGCUGAGGCGCGAAAGCGUGGGGAGCAAACAGG